CCACGGCGCCGCCCCGGCGCUCCUCCGCCCUCCGCCGCCACCGGGGACAAGGAUGGAAAGUGACGAGGAGGAGCCGGAAUAAGCCACUUUUUUUGGCUUCCGGUGGGUGGAGAAACGUAGAGACCGCAUUUUGCGGGGCUUCUACUGGCUUUCGCGGGUGAGCCGUUUUGCCUUCUCCCGUUUGGCACGGCUUCAUCAAAUGCCACCCUAGAAGCCGCUCGAUGAGCCGUGCCAAAGGGGCCCU
rnacentral:lncRNA from 1 species